rnacentral:rRNA from 2 species
GAUAACUUCGGGAAACCGAAGCUAAUACCGGAUAGGAUCUUCUCCUUCAUGGGAGAUGAUUGAAAGAUGGUUUCGGCUAUCACUUACAGAUGGGCCCGCGGUGCAUUAGCUAGUUGGUGAGGUAACGGCUCACCAAGGCAACGAUGCAUAGCCGACCUGAGAGGGUGAUCGGCCACACUGGGACUGAGACACGGCCCAGACUCCUACGGGAGGCAGCAGUAGGGAAUCUUCCGCAAUGGACGAAAGUCUGACGGAGCAACGCCGCGUGAGUGAUGAAGGCUUUCGGGUCGUAAAACUCUGUUGUUAGGGAAGAACAAGUACGAGAGUAACUGCUCGUACCUUGACGGUACCUAACCAGAA